GGGCUGCGUGGGUGGUGGUGGGGGUUGUGGUGGUUGCUAGCUGGAUAGUUAGGGUUAAAGUUUAGGGUGGCGUGAGGUGUUAGAGGAUUAGGGUUUUGGGGUUAGGGUUAGAGGGGUUAAUUAACCUUAAUGACUAACGCAAAACUUGACGCCGUUAGUCAUUAAGGGAAUUUGGUGCAUUUUAUUGAAACAGUAAGGGUGGUCCAUUUUUUAAAAAUUAGGGGUACCCCAUGAAUUUUGAAAACCACAGGGAUACCUGGUGAAAAAAUCCUAUAAUGUAAUUAAGAAGUUUAUAAAUUUUAAUUUGAGCAAUUUUUUCCUAACUACAUUUCACAUAUUAAUUAUUAAAAUCAUGAAAAUAACUUUUCCAUGCAAUAAAAAUAUAUCUAUAAAUCUUGACAUUAAUUUUUUUAGAACAAUGUCUAGGCUAUACCAUAAAAGAACCUUUUGAGCUCAAUAAUUGAACUUUCCCUUUCAGUUGACAAAUAAUUAUUCAUUACUCGAGGAUUGAAAAUAUAAUGAGGCACCUCUAAUUAUUAUAUAUGCUAGAUAAAAUUUCAUUAAAUUAUAUAGUCGUACAAACUAAACAAGUAUAUAUAUUAUAUUACAAUCUAGGAGUAUAAAGAAAAACACAACAUGAUGUAUCUUUCUAUAGCUUUUCAAUUGCUCACCUAUUUCAUCCUACUAUUUUAUCAUUUGUUAUUAAUUCAAUAUUCAUUUUAGUUUAGAAAUCUAAGUAUACAUAUAUAUGGAGAAAGAAAAUGUAAAAGAAAAAAGUUACAACACAAUUCUCGAUAUCUCACAAUAUGUCUCAAUAUUCUAAUGUUGUCUCUAUUCCAUACAUUAUUAUAUACUUUAAUUUACUUUAGUAUUAUCUUUUAUCUGUUACUCCCUCUGUUUCAUUUUAAUUGUUAUACUUUGAUAUUUUACACUAUUCACAAAUUUUACUUUAACCAUCAUUUGUGAUUUAUACGCAGAUGAAAAUAUAGUCAUGUGGGAUCUUGUUAGAUUCAUCAUAACAUGUAUUUUAUUAAUAUGUACUUUUUAUAAUUUUUACAAACACAAAACUAAAGAUAUAUGUCCUCAACGUUUAGCAUUGGCAUGCGUGAAAAGUGUAAGUGUGUAGAUUAAAAUGAAACGGAUGGAGUACUUUUUUAUUCUUGACAUCGAAUAUUGCAUUUCAAUUAUCCCUUAUUUUAGAUUACGUUUUUAUAUUAAAAAUAUUGGUUGACACAAAAUAGACCCAACCCUAGCUGACUUGACCCAAUCCAGCUCGAAUUCGACCCAAUCCGUUGUAAACCCAAACAGACUCGACUCCAAUCAGAUGUGAUUCGACUCGAAUCAAUCCACAAACAGCAAACGAGAAACGACCCGAAUUGACUCAGCAUGUGCCUAUCCUGGAUGAACUCCUUUACCAUCUCGAAAUGAUAUCCAUAUUUAUGUUACAGUUGAAAGUCCUUUCAUUCUUAAUUUUUAAUAAAUUAGUUGAAUAUGUAUUUUUUGGGGGAAAUUUUGUUAUGUAUCUAGUGAGUUGUUGUACUAUUAAUGCAAUUAUAGUGGAAUAUGUCAGAAUUGCCAAUGUUGAGAGUAGGAAUGUCGGAGCAUCAUCCCUAUAAAUAUCUAAUGGUUCAUUGUAUUUGGGCUAUGAAAAUCAAUAUAAAAAACCUCUUUCCUCCUAUCUCUCUUUCUCUCUCGUUCUUCUUUCUCUCCCCUAACUAGUUUAUGAAACUUCAAAUUACUCAUUUCACUUUCAAUAUUGGGUGAAUACCUAAAUUCCUACAUCAUUGGUAUCAGAGCAACUCACAUUCUGGUAACGAGAACACAACUUAAAUUGCUGGUGAAGUUUAGCUUCAGAAAUUUAGGUUUUUUGCCCAACAUUUUCUUGUGAAAUCUGGCACUUGUGACAAGAAAUCUGACUGCAAAUUAGCUCAAGGCACAAUUUGAUGAAAGGAUCAAUAUAUUGGAGCAACAUCUGAUUGCCCAUUCCUAUGCGUUAUAUGAAAUUCUCAGCUUAUUGAAGGAUAAAGCAAAGGAAGCGAAAAAUUCAUAAAACACUUUCAACGAUGGAUGGCGAGGGACUUGCUCAAAAACUUGGGUGCAAGCUAGAACCCGUUCACCCUCACGCAGUGGCUAAUGGCAACCAGCUCUCAUGCUCAUUGGUGUGCAAGGGCUUCACCUGGCAACUGCCGUUUGCCAAAUUUACAACAUAUGCUCUUAUGACCCCCCUUGGUGGAAGUGACAUAGUACUAGAAGUCCAAUGGCUUAAUACUUCAGGCACAGUCAAGUGAAAUUUUAGACAGCUGAAAAUGGAGUUUACUUCUGCCAACAAGUCGCAUGUUCUGGGUGGUACCACCUAAAUUUGAAGGCUAUGGAUAGUUCAACAAUUUCAAAGAUGAUACGAACUGCUGCUCAUGUGUGUUUGCUCCAAGUGAAUUCCUCUACUACUCAUUUCCCCAACCACAUCACCUAUUCCGCACAACAGGUUGAGCCCAGCUCAUAUCCACAACUAUCUACAUUGUUGGACACCUUCCAUAGUAUCUUCAUAUAACCUAGUUGUUUACCCCCAAUUAGAAGAGUCUUUGAUCAUAAGAUUUCUUUACUAACAACAUCUCAACCUGUUAAUAUAAGGCCAUACAUAUAUCCAAUCAAACACAGGGAUAUAAUUGAGCAACUCAUCAAAGAAAUGAACGAUGAAUGCAUCACACUGAGACAACCACCCUUUUGCCUCCCCUGUAGUGCUGGUGGGAAAGAAAAAUAGCAACUGGAGGCUCUGUAUUGAUUACAAGGAGCUCAACAAUAGAAUCGUCAAAGACAAGUAUCCUAUCUAGUGGCGGAUCAACUCAUUGAUGAAUUGGCUAGUUCACAAGUCUUCACAAAGUUGGACCUGAGAGCCAAGUAUCACCAACUUAGGGUAUCUCAAGAUGUGUUUAAAACUGCAUUAAAAACACACUCAGGUCAUUAUGAAUUCCUAGUUAUGCCAUUUAGCUUCACUAAUGCACCUGCCUCAUUUCAAUGUUGGAUGAAUGGACUAUGGUGUGUUUAGAUAAUGUUGAUAUGAAUAGUAAUUUUGAAUUUGUUCUACUAAUACACAAUAUUAUAAUCAAAUUAAUGUCCUAA